AUUAGCGGGAGGCAAAAACCGUUCCAGAAUUUUUCCAACCUUCCAAAGCAGCGAACACAUCCGAACCACGAGGUGCUCACCCCACCCAGGUGGACUUUCGACUUUACGUCCGAUCUAUCCACUUUAAAUUUGAUGACACGAGGGCCUGGUGCGUAACCCUACGCCGAAGAAUGUACCUUGGUUUCCGCGGAGGCGCGUUACAACUGGAAGAGAAAAGCGCGAGGUAUCGAACGCGCGACCAUAUUUGCAUACGUACGCACCGUCGGCGAACGCCACGACGCGCACGACACGCGGACCUUCUGUGGCAGGGUGUAAACAACUUUACUCUUCACUUUAUGAAUGAAUGAGUAAACGUGGAGUGAUAGGCGGCGGGCCCAGUAUAGCAAAUGCCAGCAGCACACACACACACACACACACACACACACACACACACACACACACUCGCGGGAGGGGUUUGUGCUACAUAGGUUUGAAACCGAAAAAAGGCACCGAACCUUGCAGGUCAGUCAAUGCAGCACCGCUCGAGUGGAAGAUUAUCAGCUUCUUAGAAGCGGAAAGCCAAAUUGAAACAAAAGCAGAUGCAUCUCCAACGGUCUUCGCACGGAAAGAUGGAAAAGAAAUCUUAAUUCCAAUGAAUUUAGACGACGUUGAACUGGCGCGUUCGAUCGACGGGUGGAAAACGGUUUUUUCCCGACCUUAAAAGGAAAAAUCUUCAGACGCGACCAACUUCAACAGAGAUGUUAACGCUGGUCCACACUUUGCAGAACUACACUAUUAGUGGACAUUAAUUAGCUACAAAUGGUGGUUUUACAGCAAGAUGUCCAGAUAUUGUGGAGUGCCUAUUACU